rnacentral:rRNA from 1 species
AUUGAACGCUGGCGGCAUGCUUUACACAUGCAAGUCGAACGGCAGCGCGGGCUUCGGCCUGGCGGCGAGUGGCGAACGGGUGAGUAAUGCAUCGGAACGUGCCCAGUAGUGGGGGAUAGCCCGGCGAAAGCCGGAUUAAUACCGCAUAAGACCUGAGGGUGAAAGCGGGGGACCGAAAGGCCUCGCGCUAUUGGAGCGGCCGAUGUCGGAUUAGCUAGUUGGUGGGGUAAAGGCUUACCAAGGCGACGAUCCGUAGCUGGUCUGAGAGGACGACCAGCCACACUGGGACUGAGACACGGCCCAGACUCCUACGGGAGGCAGCAGUGGGGAAUUUUGGACAAUGGGGGCAACCCUGAUCCAGCCAUGCCGCGUGCGGGAAGAAGGCCUUCGGGUUGUAAACCGCUUUUGUUCGGGAAGAAAUCCUCUGGGCUAAUACCCCGGGGGGAUGACGGUACCGGAAGAAUAAGCACCGGCUAACUACGUG